rnacentral:siRNA from 1 species
UUUGUUAAGGUGAGUGCGUGA